ACUCGCUCCGCUCCCUCUACUCAAUCGUUUCCACCCCAACAUCCAAAGUGUCUCCUUCAAAUCGAACCGCCAGACUUGCGUUCUCAUCUCCAUUACUUCCUGUUUGACGUUUACGGAGAAAACCCACCAAAUGAUUUUCAAUGCUUGAACUUUGAAAAGAAGAAAAAGCUUUGCUGCGCAGUCGUAUAAGUAUUGGGUGCUCUUGAUUUGAGUUUUUCAUUGGGUUGUGCGGCUCGUAGGCGGGACUUACUCUGGUUGGCCUACCAGACAAGUCAAUCUGAAUCUCUAUCAACCAAUAAUUUGGCCCACUGCAGUCUCUCCGGGCACACUACUACCUCGUCAAACCGGCCACCUUAACCUAGUCUUCUGGGGAGACUGCAAUCUCUCCUGGCACGGUUGGACGGAAUCCACACACUAUCUGAGCACUCGGAAUCUAGUGCAGAAUCCUGUGUAUUUUCAAUUCAGAUUCUUACAAUGAUAGAUGGUAAUGGAUUAUUAUAACAAGAAUGAAGCUGAUCUUACAUUUUCAAUGCCUUCCCCAUUUCUCACAAAAGAAAAACGAGGAAGCAGGGGCAGUGUUGCUUUAGCUUCACAUAGAGAAAAUGAGGUUCAGAAGGUACUUUCCUCGUGAAGUUGAUUUCCUUUUAUCUUAGAAUUGGAUUUGAUUUGGGAGAAAACCGUGGGUUCUUUCGCUCUUUAAUGUAUUAUGAAAUUCUAUUGAAUAUGAUGAUCAAUUGAUUUCCCCCCUUUACUGCUUGCAAA